rnacentral:misc_RNA from 1 species
AAGUCGUAACAAGGUUUCCGUAGGUGAACCUGCGGAAGGAUCAUUAACACGUAUCCAACGUUAAACCCCCCUGUGAACCUUCAACAGUACUCUUGCAUCCUAUGGAACAGCAAUCCUGGUAAAUCAGUCCCGGAAAGUUAUUGAUUCAGGACCUCUGCCCAAAAAGAUGUGAUGUCGAGCGCAAGUUAAAGUGGCCUAGCUUCCCCAAGCAAUCGGUGUUCUGUCAGUGUCACUGAUUGUGCAAGGAUAGCGCUUCUACAAUUCCUGUACACCGUACACUCGGGCAGGAGCUUUGCCAAAGGGUCCCCAUGCCCCCUAAUAACCCCACAGUUUAAUGUGAAGCUCAAUGUAAUACAUUGGGUAAAAAAACCGAACAACUGUUAACAAUGGAUAUCUUGGUUCUC